rnacentral:lncRNA from 1 species
UCCUCAGGCUUUUGGAAUGUAAGCUGCCUCAUUUAGAGCCAGAACAGGACUCUAUACAUCAUUCUGCUGACUAUAAGACAGAAAUACCGUGUCACCUAAAUUGUCAAGAUAGAAGCUCAGAAAUAAGAGAACUCGAUGUACCCAAUAAUUCAGUUAUGAAGCAGGCAUGC